rnacentral:rRNA from 1 species
UCCUUAGAUGUCCUGGGCCGCACGCGCGCUACACUGACAUGUUCAACAAGCCUCCUAGUUCGACAGGAUUUGGGAAAUCUUUGAACGCAUGUCGUGAUAGGGAUAGAUCAUUGCAAUUAUUGAUCUUGAACGAGGAAUUCCUAGUAAACGCGAGUCAUCAGCUCGCAUUGAUUACGUCCCUGCCCUUUGUACACACCGCCCGUCGCACCUACCGAUUGAAUGUUUCGGUGAAGAUUCCGGAUAGGACUUUUUUGAUUUAUUUCAAUUCUGUCUUAAAAGCUAUCUAAACCUCAACAUUUAGAGGAAGGUGAAGUCGUAACA